rnacentral:rRNA from 1 species
AGAGUUUGAUCCUGGCUCAGGAUGAACGCUGGCGGCGUGCUUAACACAUGCAAGUCGAACGAAGCAUUUAAGACAGAUUUUUUCGGAAUGAAGUUUUUUAUGACUGAGUGGCGGACGGGUGAGUAACGCGUGGGUAACCUGCCUCACACAGGGGGAUAGCAGUUGGAAACGACUGGUAAUACCGCAUAAGCGCACAGCUUCGCAUGAAGCGGUGUGAAAAACUCCGGUGGUGUGAGAUGGACCCGCGUCUGAUUAGGUAGUUGGUGAGGUAACGGCCCACCAAGCCGACGAUCAGUAGCCGACCUGAGAGGGUGACCGGCCACAUUGGGACUGAGACACGGCCCAGACUCCUACGGGAGGCAGCAGUGGGGAAUAUUGCACAAUGGAGGAAACUCUGAUGCAGCGACGCCGCGUGAGUGAAGAAGUAUUUCGGUAUGUAAAGCUCUAUCAGCAGGGAAGACAGUGACGGUACCUGACUAAGAAGCUCCGGCUAAAUACGUGCCAGCAGCCGCGGUAAUACGUAUGGAGCAAGCGUUAUCCGGAUUUACUGGGUGUAAAGGGAGUGUAGGUGGUAUCACAAGUCAGAAGUGAAAGCCCGGGGCUCAACCCCGGGACUGCUUUUGAAACUGUGGAACUGGAGUGCAGGAGAGGUAAGUGGAAUUCCUAGUGUAGCGGUGAAAUGCGUAGAUAUUAGGAGGAACACCAGUGGCGAAGGCGGCUUACUGGACUGUAACUGACACUGAGGCUCGAAAGCGUGGGGAGCAAACAGGAUUAGAUACCCUGGUAGUCCACGCCGUAAACGAUGAA